rnacentral:misc_RNA from 1 species
UGAGGAUACCGAACCAGC